rnacentral:rRNA from 1 species
AAACUUGGGCUAAUACCGCAUGAGCCCUGAGGGGGAAAGCGGGGGAUCUUCGGACCUCGCGCUAAGGGAAGAGCCUACGUCUGAUUAGCUAGUUGGUAGGGUAAAGGCCUACCAAGGCGACGAUCAGUAGCUGGUCUGAGAGGACGACCAGCCACACUGGGACUGAGACACGGCCCAGACUCCUACGGGAGGCAGCAGUGGGGAAUUUUUCGCAAUGGGGGCAACCCUGACGAAGCAAUGCCGCGUGGAUGAAGAAGGCCUUCGGGUUGUAAAGUCCUUUCGUGGGGGACGAAAAGGCGGGUCCUAAUACGAUCUGCUGUUGACGUGAACCCAAGAAGAAGCACCGGCUAACUCCGUGCCAGCAGCCGCGGUAAUACGGGGGGUGCAAGCGUUAAUCGGAAUCACUGGGCGUAAAGGGUGCGUAGGCGGUACGUUAGGUCUGUCGUGAAAUCCCCGGGCUCAACCUGGGAAUGGCGGUAGAAACCGGCGCACUAGAGUAUGGGAGAGGGUGGUGGAAUUCCAGGUGUAGCGGUGAAAUGCGUAGAGAUCUGGAGGAACAUCAGUGGCGAAGGCGGCCACCUGGCCCAAUACUGACGCUGAGGCACGAAAGCGUGGGGAGCAAACAGGAUUAGAUACCCUGGUAGUCCACGCCCUAAACGAUGAAUACUAGAUGUUUGGUACCUAGCGUACUGAGUGUCGUAGCUAACGCCGAUAAGUAUUCCCGCCUGGGAAGUACGGCCCGCAAGGUUAAAACUCAAAGGAAUUGACGG